rnacentral:rRNA from 1 species
UAACCUGCCCAAGAGAUCGGGAUAACACCUGGAAACAGAUGCUAAUACCGGAUAACAACAGAUGAUGCCUAUCAACUGUUUAAAAGAUGGUUCUGCUAUCACUCUUGGAUGGACCUGCGGUGCAUUAGCUAGUUGGUAGGGUAACGGCCUACCAAGGCGAUGAUGCAUAGCCGAGUUGAGAGACUGAUCGGCCACAUUGGGACUGAGACGACGGCCCAAACUCCUACGGGAGGCAGCAGUC